UUUGGCCAUCUUCAUAAUCAUUAGUCUCUUAAUUAGUGACUUGUAUGAAGGAUUUGAUGAAAUAUAAUCUGUCUCAAAAAUAAUUAAUUGAAAUUAAUUUUUUAAUUAAAAAGUUAAAAUAAAUUAAAAAGACGAGAAGACCCUAUAGAGUUUAAUAUUAAGUGUAAAUUUAAGUUAUUUAUAAAAUUUAUUUAUUUAUAAAUUUUGUUUAAUAUUUUGUUGGGGUGAUAAAAAAAUAAAAUGAACUUUUUUUAAUAGUAAACAUAAAUAAGUGAUUUUAUGAUCCAAUUUUAUUGAUUAAAAGAAAAAAUUACCUUAGGGAUAACAGCGUAAUUUUUUCUUUUAGUUCUUAUAAGAGAAAAAGUUUGCGACCUCGAUGUGAGAU
rnacentral:rRNA from 1 species